AAGCAUUUAUUAGAAAAUAUGCGAGGCCAAAUAAUACACCAGUAAUUGCCCUUUUCUGUUGUUGUUCUGGGUCUUCUUUGAGGAAAACCACAUUACUAUUAUUCUGCUUCAGUCACUUAAAACAUGAUGCUGAAUGGGACAUUUGGGUCAAACAACUGUUUAAUAGUCAGUGAUUACAACAAACAAAAAACUCCUAUAAGCAUUUCUCCAUAAACUUUAAUGUACAGAACAUCAUAUUCUCAUCACCUCCAUAGUCGGUAAAUAACACCAGAGGGUUGUGUUAUGACACAAGUACAAAAUAAUUACAAUCUAGAUGACAAAAAUAGCAAAAGCUGAUGAAAACCGCAGAAUAAAGGUGAAAUGUCAGUGCUACCAGACGAGACACAUUCUACAUGCAGUGGUCAUAGUGGUUACGUGACCAGAACAUUUGACAAUUUCUCUUUUUUUAUAUGAAAAAACAGCACGAAAGCAAAGAAAAAAAAAACAAAAGCGCUAAUAAGAGUUUAAAACCUUUUUGUUUCUGGAAAUGCUGCUGGAAGACAAAGAGCAGCAUUGCGUUUGUUGCGUUUGUCAAAAAAAAAAAAAACUUAACACCAAAGACGCUCAAUAAAAGUAACAAUUUGGUCACAAUACAAUGACAAGCUGAGAUUGACCCACUUUGCUCGGCUUGUGACCCGUCUGAAUUCACAUCAGUGCACCCUCAGUUGUUUCUUCUGAUCUAAAACUCUUGCGGACUCUCCGUUUGUGUCACUUAGAGGGGAAAAAGUGCCGAUUUGCUUUUGUUUCAAUUAAGAAAAUAACUCACAAAUAAUGGUGUUUCUUUAAGACUAUUCCUGUCACUAUUCAUCAUUUUGAACACAGCGAUCUCAAAUAUUUCAGCUCGUUUGUUAAAUAACGACGGUGCUCAACACAAGUUGACACCAAAAAAUUAUUGUGCUCUGUUGAAAAAUGUUAUGUGGACUAAAUGAUAUAUUCUGUAUUUUGUGCCUUUGUAAUUACAAAUUGUUUUGAGUACAAAUGACUAAUAAAUAAAACCCUUCAGCAGGAUUCACUUAGAGAUACUUUGGUUUGAUCAGGAGUCCAGAUCUCAUAUUUCAUAAGUAGGUCAGCUGGUUCAGAUGUGAAUAGAAACCUAAACAAAUGGAAAUAGGGUGAAAUAUUAAGACCUCAGAAAACAUAAUUAAAUUAUACAGAAUAUUUGAAUUAUUCUUUUUUUGAUUAUUUAUAUUAAAAUUCAUGAGUAUACUUAAGUACAUACAAAAAGAAACUGAUAUGCAAUUGAUUGUUUCUCUGUACAAAAAGGGAAGGGAAGAAAUGAACUUAGAACCUAUACUGUCAAGGGAAAUUUGGAUCAAAUUUCAGUCUGGAUUUGACACAUUUUAUAAAAUUAUAAUGCAAUACAUAUUCCUACAUCAUUUUUAGAUAUCACUAAAGACAAGCAUGAAGAUUUCCCAUGAAUUCUCAAUGCUCAAUUCUUUAUUUGGUCUGUAAAGAUCGUGAUGUUGUCUUAUUCAUGUGGCUUUGUUCAGAUGGCUUUAGCUAACAUGCUUUACCAUGUUAGCAAGGCAACAUAGUAGCAUGUUAGCAUGUGAUUUUUCAGUGCAUUAGUUGGAGUUCUAUAAAAUUUACCUUAUGCAGAAAUUACACCUAAUUUGAAGAUCCGACGGUGACAACAGUUAAAUGUAGAUCUUCUAUUUAGGGCAUCCAGCCUUAAAAAUGACCAAUUUUGACAUUUUUUGUCAGAUUGCAAAUCAAAUUAAACAAAAACUAAAAGUUUUACAAAGU